rnacentral:rRNA from 1 species
AGGUUGAUUUUGGCUCAAGAUGAACGCUAGCUACAGGCUUAACACAUGCAAGUCAAGGGGAAACGACAUCGAUAGCUUGCUUUUGAUGGGCGACUACCGGCGCACGGGUGAGUAACGUGUAUCCAACCUGCCCACCACUUGGGGAUAACCUUGUUAAUGUAAGACUAACACCCAAUGACGUCUCUAGAAUACAUCUGAAAGAGAUUGAAGAUUUAUCGGCGAUGGAUGGGGAUGCGUCUGAUUAGCUUGUUGGCGGGGAAACGGCCCACCAAGGCAACGAUCAGUAGGGGUUCUGAGAGGAAGGUCCCCCACAUUGGAACUGAGACACGGUCCAAACUCCUACGGGAGGCAGCAGUGAGGAAUAUUGGUCAAUGGACGAGAGUCUGAACCAGCCAAGUAGCGUGCAGGAAGACGGCCCUAUGGGUUGUAAACUGCUUUUAUAAGGGAAUAAAGUGAGUCUCGUGAGACUUUUUGCAUGUACCUUAUGAAUAAGGACCGGCUAAUUCCGUGCCAGCAGCCGCGGUAAUACGGAAGGUCCGGGCGUUAUCCGGAUUUAUUGGGUUUAAAGGGAGCGUAGGCCGGAGAUUAAGCGUGUUGUGAAAUGUAGAUGCUCAACAUCUGAACUGCAGCGCGAACUGGUUUCCUUGAGUACGCACAAAGUGGGCGGAAUUCGUGGUGUAGCGGUGAAAUGCUUAGAUAUCACGAAGAACUCCGAUUGCGAAGGCAGCUCACUGGAGCGCAACUGACGCUGAAGCUCGAAAGUGCGGGUAUCGAACAGGAUUAGAUACCCUGGUAGUCCGCACGGUAAA